UACGAAGGGGGCUAGCGUUGUUCGGAAUUACUGGGCGUAAAGCGCGCGCAGGCGGCCUUUCAAGUCAGGGGUGAAAGCCCGGAGCUCAACUCCGGAAUUGCCUUUGAAGCUGUCAGGCUCGAGUACGGGAGAGGUGAGUGGAAUUCCCAGUGUAGAGGUGAAAUUCGUAGAUAUUGGGAAGAACACCGGUGGCGAAGGCGGCUCACUGGCCCGUUUCUGACGCUCAGGCGCGACAGCGUGGGGAUCGAAACAGG
rnacentral:rRNA from 1 species